GAUGAACGCUGGCGGCGUGCCUAAUACAUGCAAGUCGAGCGAACGGACGAGAAGCUUGCUUCUCUGAUGUUAGCGGCGGACGGGUGAGUAACACGUGGAUAACCUACCUAUAAGACUGGGAUAACUUCGGGAAACCGGAGCUAAUACCGGAUAAUAUUUUGAACCGCAUGGUUCAAAAGUGAAAGACGGUCUUGCUGUCACUUAUAGAUGGAUCCGCGCUGCAUUAGCUAGUUGGUAAGGUAACGGCUUACCAAGGCAACGAUGCAUAGCCGACCUGAUAGGGUGAUCGGCCACACUGGAACUGAGACACGGUCCAGACUCCUACGGGAGGCAGCAGUAGGGAAUCUUCCGCAAUUGGCGAAAGCCUGACGGAGCAACGCCGCGUGAGUGAUGAAGGUCUUCGGAUCGUAAAACUCUGUUAUUAGGGAAGAACAUAUGUGUAAGUAACUGUGCACAUCUUGACGGUACCUAAUCAGAAAGCCACGGCUAACUACGUG
rnacentral:rRNA from 1 species